rnacentral:rRNA from 1 species
AGUGAACGCUGGCGGUAGGCCUAACACAUGCAAGUCGAACGGCAGCACAGGAGAGCUUGCUCUCUGGGUGGCGAGUGGCGGACGGGUGAGGAAUACAUCGGAAUCUACCUUUUCGUGGGGGAUAACGUAGGGAAACUUACGCUAAUACCGCAUACGACCUACGGGUGAAAGUGGGGGACCGCAAGGCCUCACGCGAUUAGAUGAGCCGAUGUCCGAUUAGCUAGUUGGCGGGGUAAUGGCCCACCAAGGCGACGAUCGGUAGCUGGUCUGAGAGGAUGAUCAGCCACACUGGAACUGAGACACGGUCCAGACUCCUACGGGAGGCAGCAGUGGGGAAUAUUGGACAAUGGGCGCAAGCCCGAUCCAGCCAUACCGCGUGGGUGAAGAAGGCCUUCGGGUUGUAAAGCCCUUUUGUUGGGAAAGAAAUCCUAUCGGUUAAUAACCGGUGGGGAUGACGGUACCCAAAGAAUAAGCACCGGCUAACUUCGUGCCAGCCGCCGCGGUAAAAC